rnacentral:tRNA from 4 species
GCGGGAAUAGCUCAGUGGUAGAGCACAACCUUGCCAAGGUUGGGGUCGCGGGUUCAAAUCCCGUUUCCCGCUCCA